AAUAGCUUAAAAAAACGACUUUACAGCUAUUUUGUAAGAAAUAAAAUGGUAAACCUAAAACACCUCAAAGCAGUUGUUGAGGUUUUGAUUUUUUUUGUAAAAAAAAAUGAAAUAAACCUAUCAAAGCGUAUCAUCGAUUGUUCUCCUUCAAAUUCAAUAUCUCAUCUUUCUUCCUCAAAUCAUUCUCAAGAUUCAAGGAGCAAGCAAUUGCAGAUAAGCCGGGAUGGGAAGCAGUGGUGGCAUGGACUAUGGAGGACAAAAAUGCUACAAGCCAAGGGAGAGCAAGGAAAAUAUUUGCUACAAGUGCGGAGCAAGCAGAAGUAUAUACAGUCUGGUGGCCAAUUAAAGAGAACAUCAGCCAAUAUAAGAAUAUCAGAAUCAGAUCAGACAGUGAGAAUGUAGUGAAAGUGCUAAACUCGCCGAAAACGUCGUCGGUGGAGCAAGUGUGGUCAUGGACAUCUUAGAUAUGAUAAGGAGCUUAGAUUAUUUUAUUUGCAUAAAGGUACGAAGAGAUUGUACAGUUUGGAUCAAGUAGGAGUUUUAUUUGUGAUCGAUCGUUCAUUUGCCCCUUAGGCAGUAUAUGCAAUUAAUAACAAUGGAUCCGAGGACCUAGUGACUCCUUCUGUAAGUCAACAAGAACUUCAAAGAAUGGCUUGAUUUCGAGAUUGUUUGGCAAAACGAUUGUUGGAAAGACAAAAUUCACAAUGAAAGUUAUCAACGAGAAAUAAAUAUUACAUUGCAUUUGACUAUUUUA